UCAUCUUCUGUCAUCAAGGGGAACCAGGGCAGGAACUCCAGGCAAGAGCUGGAAACAAAAACCACAGAGGAGCGCUGCUUGCCGGUGCUCCCAGGCUCGAACUCAGGGCCUGAGCCGGACUUGGGGAAAGGACUGAUCGACUCAUCGCCCAGGGCCCGGAGGCCUGGGGCAGCUGUCAGAGCCAGAGCAGAAGGGACAAGAAUGGAUCAGGCGUAGGUGGCUUCGAACACAAGUCUCUGAAAGGGAGAAGAUGACGUUCCCUGGAUCUUGCUACACGGCUCGGGCUGCCCUGAACUCAAGGUCCUCCUGGGAGCUGGGAUGGAGGAUGGGCAUGCUGCACCCGCAGGUACUGAGUUCCUGGAGUCCUGCAGAGCUGUGAUGUCCUCGUGAGGCAGCUCCUGGGACAGGGCAGAGGGUUGCCCAUCAGAGAAUACACGCACCCUAGCCAGGGUUGACUCUGGAAUCCCCCACGAGCAUGGAAGGAAAGUCUAAGGGUUAGGGUCUCAGACUCAUGGCCUGACCCUCACACCUGAGUUUGGUCAGGCUCGCAGCGGCGGGUGACACAAAUACCUCGGGUCCCUCUGGUGCCUCGCCCUAGCCUUGCCUGGGGGCUCAAGUCACCAGCUCAGACCUCCAGAGCCCCUACAUAACAGUCCGAUUCGGAGCACUAUGCCUAUGGCCAUAUAUAAUAUAAACGCACUUUGGUAGUAACACAGACAGAGCACAUGGAGAUUAACGUUCAGUCCACCCUUCCAGCUCUUGCGAUUACCCCUGGCUAACAGAUUAGAAGGCUGAGCCAGGACCAGGAUGGUUAGUUGACCUAACUCACCCAGCUGGCAACUUGUCCAGGGUCCUCCACUGCUUUUUUCUUUUUUUCUUUAUUUGUGAGUGACGGGUGGGCAAAUACUCUACCACUGAGCUACUCAGCCCAGA